UCCCGGGAAAGCGGCCCCCUCUGGCAGCCGCCCCUUCCCGGGAAAGAGCGGCUGCUGGGGGCCGUGGCCCUGGCACGGGGAUGCCGGUUGCUCCCUCCCACGGCUUCCCCUUUUCUCAGAAAGCCUGGAAACCAAAGGUGAAAGAAGUGGGUGGAAACUCUGCGCUGCCGUCCAGGAAGAGAAGUGAGUAAGUCGGCUGCAAUAUUUAACAGCGCCUCCGGCCCCUUCGCCCGCAGAGCCGCCUCGACGGGAGCCGGACGGGAGUCGGAUGGAGACACAGCUGGCUGGAGCCAGGGGAAGCUGACUCGCACUGGCUGCUUGGCUCUGAGAACUGAAUUCCAUAGGCAUUAAAGCCUUCAAAAUGCCCUAUGGAUUCAGUUCUGCAGCUGGGCAGCAACUGAGCCUCAAACCUCCAGGAGGAGAAGGCAACUGUGAGCUCUUCCUACAAGGAAUAUGUAAAUCUUUACUCCUGCACAGAGACCAGAUUAGGGACAGAGGCAAGUCAUGGCCACCAUAAAAAUGUCUACUAUCAGAGAGCUACUAAAGGUUUGUGGCACAUCUUCCCCCAAGGGAAACAAAAGCCCAACUAUAGAAUGUUUUCUUCCCUCGGGAAGUGAAGUAGUACUUGAGAAAAUAAAUACAUUGCUACCUCUUGAUGUACUACA